ensembl:lncRNA
CCCUCUAUCCCUCCAGUCAGUUGUCUCCCCCUCUCCCCUCUAUCCCUCCAGUCAGUUGUCUCUCCCUCUCCCCUCUAUCCCUCCAGUCAGUUGUCUCUCCCUCUCCCCUCUAUCCCUCCAGUCAGUUGUCUCCCCCUCUCCCCUCUAUCCCUCUAGUCAGUUGUCUCUCCCUCUCACUUGUAUCCUAUUUGUAUCAGAUUAGCCUUCCCAUCUAGCCUGCUCCCAGAUAUGUCUGAGCUCCAUUGCUGUUCAAGCCAAAGUGUCAAUGAGACACAGGGAGCUGGGCAUGAUAACACAAACAGACUGGCAGUCAGGCUACUUCCCACCUGUCUAUGUAUCCCAGUCUCACCCAGGUCUCCACAAGUCUCCCCCAGUCUCUCUCACAAGUCUCUCCCAGUCUCUCUCCCAAGUCUCUCCCAGUCUCUCUCCCAAGUCUCCCCAUGUCUCUCGCCCAAGUAUCCACCAGUCUCUCUCCCAAGUCUCCCCCAGUCUCUCUCCCAAGUCUCCCCCAGUCUCUCUCCCAAGUCUCUCCCAAGUCUCCCCAGUCUCUCUCCCAAGUCUCUCCCAGUCUCUCUCCACAAGUCUCCCCCAGUCUCUCUCCCAGUCUCUCUCCCAGUCUCUCUCCCAGUCUCUCUCCCAAGUCUCUCCCAGUCUCUCUCCCAAUCUCUCCCCAGUCUCUCUCCCAAGUCUCCCCUAGUCUCUUUCCCAAGUCUCCCUAGUCUCUCUCCCAGUCUCUCUCCCAGUCUCUCUCCCAGUCUCUCUCCCAGUCUCUCUCCCAGUCUCUCUCCCAAUCUCUCUCCCAAGUCUCCCCCAGUCUCUCUCCCAAGUCUCCCUAGUCUCUCUCACAAGUCUCCCCCGUCUCUCUCCCAGUCUCCCUAGUCUCUCUCCUAAGUCUCCCUAGUCUCUCUCCCAAGUCUCCCCCAGUCUCUCUCCCAAGUCUCCCCAGUCUCUCUCCCAAGUCUCCCUAGUCUCUCUCCCAAGUCUCCCCCAGUCUCUCUGCCAAGUCUCCCCAGUCUCUCUCCCAAUCUCUCUCCCAGUCUCUCUGCCAAGUCUCCCCAGUCUCUCUCCCAAGUCUCCCCCAGUCUCUCUCCCAAGUCUCCCCAGUCUCUCUCCCAAGUCUCCCCCAGUCUCUCUCCCAGUCUCUCUGCCAAGUCUCCCCCAGUCUCUCUCCCAAGUCUCCCCCAGUCCUACCCCAGUUUUCCACAUAUCCCACCAUGUUCUAGCAAACACCCUCCAGACCUCUCAGCUUGCUUCCUAGCACAAACAUUGAACCUUUCUUUGGCCCAAUAUCGUUCCUGCUACCCACCUACCCCCUCCCCCACCCCCUGUAGCCUGUUCUGUUAACUCACAAACUCACUAGCUAGCCCUAACAUACAGUAGCACCUUCUCUGUCUGUUAUACCUGCCCUGAGAGCCCCAAAGAAUCUCAGAAUUUAUGACAGAUAACUCGAUGAUAUUUUUCUAAUAAUUUUAUUUCCUGUUUUUGAGAUGGUUACUACAGAUUUUUGAUACAGGGGUGCUGGUGUUUACUGCCCUGCCAUAUUGUACUCGUUUAUCACACACGAUGCGACAGGAUCCUCCAAGACACUAUUCAAUUCUUAUAUCCUAUAAAUAAAACAACCACAUGUAUAUUUUACAGCAAUCAAUUUAUCAUUGUGACGAUAGCAGAGGAACAUAGUAAAAAUGAUGGCAUGACUUCGUACAGAUGGCAGUAGUGCUUGCAGUGUGGUGCUUUGAAUAGUUUUGUAAAUCUUCGAGAGGAUGCGGCCAUUAGAGUAGAGCUAGCUUCAAGAUGUGAUGAAUGAAUGAUUGUGAGAAAAAGGGGUAAGAGAAAAUUUGCCACACAGCAUGUGGAAAAAAGGUUGUAAGUUCAGGAGCCUCUGAAAUAGAAAACUCCGUCUGUCCAGAGUGUAUAUAGAAAACAAUUUGCCAUUCUGCUCAUAAUCAUGACUGAGCUAGAUCAGGUAUUUUCUGAAAACACAGAGUUUGCAAAAUAAUUUUAACAUUCCCAAUCAUCUCAGGUUUUCUAGAAAUACUGAUCGGAGGAUUCACAAAUUUCUUCUGAUCCCAGGAAUCUUCCUACCAGGAUUUCCAGAAAUGCUGGGAAUUUAGGGAGUUACUGGGAGAUUUCACGCCAGGAUAGACCAAAAAUAUUUUGGGCUUCUCAGAUUGUUCUUGCAAUUCUCAAAUAAAAACUUAAUUGGAGGAAGGAUGUUUGACAUGCUUUUAUCAUUUGAAUAACUUUUUAGACCUUCAUGCCUCCUGUAAGACCCUAUGACCUGUGACCUGUGACCUGUGAAACGCACUCGAUACAGACAACACCUUGGUGUCAUCAUACUCCUCAUAGUGUGCUGUAGCAUAUAGAGGUUGUCUAGAUUCUGAAAUACAAUUUGUCACAUUCAUUUAUUCAACAUUAAACAUAUGAAUAUCCUUUUAGAUUUUGUUUAUUUUAAGACAUAUUGUUUGGGACAAUAUAAUCACAUUUCCAGAGUGGGCUCUCUGCAAAUGUUUAAGUUCUGCUAUAUUUUAUGAGCAUCAACAACACAGUGAAUGGGAAAAUGUAUUCUGCUGGUGAUUUGCUGAAUGUGCAAUCCUAAAGGAGGGCUGUGAUUGGUUAAUGACCUAUGAUGUCAAAUUCUAUAUAUAAAAUGGGUCAUAUCUUCAAAAGUACCAGAGAGCCACUCUGGAAAUGUCACGUGUUUGAAAAGUAUAUUGUUCCUAACUAUAUGGCUAAAAAUAAUUUUAAUAAAAAUAUAUAAACUUUUGAGAUAUUAACAUGUAUUUUUGUAUGUUUUAGAGCACACAAGGAGUAUAAUGACACAAAGACCAUGUAAGGUUCACAGAUUACAGACAUGUAUAUAUUUUUUAAUGGCCUAUAAUGACCUAUUUCAUCGCUAUUUAAAAAUAAAUUGUGAUACAAAUGUGAAAAGCAUGUGAAGCAUCCGUUCUCCCAAUGAUGUUUCUAUUUGAGAAUUGGCAGAAGAAUCUGAGAUAACAAAAAUCUUGGCAUGGAAUCGCCCUACUAGAAUUUUGCAAGCCUACACAGAACAUUAUGGAAUAUUCAAAUAACACCGUACGCUGGCCUUUUCAUGGUAUUUACCAUGGUCUUUUCAUGCUUCUUAUUUUGUGUAGAUUAAAGGGGAAUUUUUUUAAUAAUUGUGGAAAAAAAUAGGUUGUUGAUAUGAAAAAUAUAAAAAAAGAAGACAUGGAUGGAUGAAUUGAUUGAAAGAAUAUGUUUAUGGAUGGAUUGAUGCUGCCACUGACUGUGGUACAGCACAGCCUGCAUUGGGACAAUAAGCCUACUGCUCCAAACAAGAAACAGAGAGAGAAGGAAACUACAUCUUAGAAAAGCAAGAAGGAACAGGACUUCGAGGACGCAACAACAGCCAGAGAGAGAGACUCACACUAUGGACUAAACUAUCCGUCGGGUGGUAAAAUCUCUGGUUCUCACUAUCACUUAGAAAUAUGUCUCUUUUUAGUACGGUUCCCUAGUUACCAGGUAUUUACUUAUGUAUUCAAAGAGAAUUGAACAAAAUAACUGUGGUAAAAUGGCUGUAAUGAAAAAAAAAAAAUUUUUAAAAGGAAAAUGUUUUAUUUGUUAUAAUUUGCUUCAAUUAUACUUUAUGGUAUGAUAUGGUAUGAUAUGGUAUGAUAUGGUAUGAUAUGGUAUGAUAUGGUAUGAUAUGGUACACCAGGAAUCGUACAUGCAGACAGAGCACAUGAACUCACUUUUCCUUUAAUCAGAAAAAUAUUCAUUUUUUUAACUUCUGCAGUUAUGUUUUUAACCAAUACAACUAUAAGUAGUUCUGUUACUGAAACACUUUUUAUUGUUUUGCAAAAAAUAAAUAAAUAAAAUAUACUAGAAAUGUAUAUUAAAAUAAGUAUGUUAUUAUAUAUGGGAUUUUGGCAUUCACUAUCUAAGAUUGUUUACUCUAUGGAACUCCAAGGCAUUUUUGUUUCUUUCUCUUUGUAAAACACUUACUGUCAUGAUAAGAUACUGUACAAUAUGUACAGUGGGGAGAACAAGUAUUUGAUACCCUGCCGAAUUUGCAGGUUUUCCUACUUACAAAGCAUGUAGAGGUCUGUAAUUUUUUAUUAUAGGUACACUUCAACUGUGAGA